AGAGUUUGAUCCUGGCUACAGAACGAACGCUGGCGGCAUGCCUAACACAUGCAAGUCGAACGAGACCUUCGGGUCUAGUGGCGCACGGGUGCGUAACGCGUGGGAAUCUGCCCUUUGCUUCGGAAUAACAGUUAGAAAUGACUGCUAAUACCGGAUGAUGUCUUCGGACCAAAGAUUUAUCGGCAAAGGAUGAGCCCGCGUAGGAUUAGGUAGUUGGUGGGGUAAAGGCCUACCAAGCCGACGAUCCUUAGCUGGUCUGAGAGGAUGAUCAGCCACACUGGGACUGAGACACGGCCCAGACUCCUACGGGAGGCAGCAGUGGGGAAUAUUGGACAAUGGGCGCAAGCCUGAUCCAGCAAUGCCGCGUGAGUGAUGAAGGCCUUCGGGUCGUAAAGCUCUUUUACCAGGGAUGAUAAUGACAGUACCUGGAGAAUAAGCUCCGGCUAACUCCGUG
rnacentral:rRNA from 1 species